ACCAUUAUAAUUUAAUUAAAAUACUGAUUUUGUAAAUCAGAGAUAGAGUAAAUCUUUAUGGUA
rnacentral:tRNA from 1 species